rnacentral:rRNA from 1 species
AUCCUGGCUCAGGAUGAACGCUGGCGGCGUGCUUAACACAUGCAAGUCGAACGAGAACCAUUGGAUCGAGGAUUCGUCCAAGUGAAGGUGGGGAAAGUGGCGGACGGGUGAGUAACGCGUGAGCAAUCUGCCUUGGAGUGGGGAAUAACGGCUGGAAACAGCCGCUAAUACCGCAUGAUACAGCUGGGAGGCAUCUCCCUGGCUGUCAAAGAUUUAUCGCUCUGAGAUGAGCUCGCGUCUGAUUAGCUAGUUGGCGGGGUAACGGCCCACCAAGGCGACGAUCAGUAGCCGGACUGAGAGGUUGGCCGGCCACAUUGGGACUGAGACACGGCCCAGACUCCUACGGGAGGCAGCAGUGGGGAAUAUUGGGCAAUGGAGGGAACUCUGAUGCAGCGACGCCGCGUGAGGGAAGAAGGUUUUCGGAUUGUAAACCUCUGUCUUCGGUGACGAAACGAGACGGUAGCCGAGGAGGAAGCCACGGCUAACUACGUG